rnacentral:lncRNA from 1 species
UGCCAAUAAAAUAGAAAAAUAUACAGGAAAUCUUCCUUAUUCAGACAUAACAGCAAACUUACUUGCUUUUCUGUUAACCCCAAGAAUAUAUUUCAUGAAUUUUGUGUGCGACAUUUCAGAUAUGUCUUUUGAAUAAACCUUUUCUAAAAUAUAAUCAUUAUUCUUCUUACAUGCCACGAAAGUGGUUGAAAACAAUCCCUAUAUUUCACUGCCAUACAUUAGAAUAGGUUUAAUUGUAUGGUCAUAAAGGUGCAAUAAAGUUGCGGCACUAGGAUUUAAUGAUGCUAGGCAUUGUUGUAAU